CCUACGGGUGGCAGCAGUGGGGAAUAUUGCACAAUGGGGGAAACCCUGAUGCAGCGACGCCGCGUGAGUGAGGAAGUAUUUCGGUAUGUAAAGCUCUAUCGUCAGGGAAGAAAAUGACGGUACCUGACUAAGAAGCCCCGGCUAACUACGUGCCAGGAGCCGCGGGAAUACGUAGGGGGCAGCCGUUGUCCGGAUUUACUGGGUGUAAAGGAAGCGUGGACCGAUAAUCAAGUAAGAAGUGAAAAGCCAGGGCAUAACCCUGGGAGUACUUUUGAGACUGAGUAGCUAGAGUGCAGGAGAGGAAAGCGGAAUUCCUAGUGUAGCGGUGAAAUGCGUAGAUAUUAGGAGGAACACCAGUGGCGAAGGCGGCUUACUGGACUGUAACUGACGUUGAGGCUCGAAAGCGUGGGGAGCAAACAGGAUUAGAUACCCGAGUAGUC
rnacentral:rRNA from 1 species